GAAGAUCAUCGGCCAGAGCCGCGCCGACUCUACAAAACACUUCUGGCCGACAGACGGCUUUUUCUCUCUGGGCCGAUCUCGGCUGAAAGCUGUUGUAGGUGCGGCAGAUCAGCACUCGGUGUAGUUGCAUGAAUUUACCUUCAGCCCGAGUUGGUUUUGUCGCCGGCGGGCCGCUGCUAGAAUGAAGCAGAUCAGCCGCUGAGAGAAAGAUUUGGCGGUUAACGUAAUCCUGAGGAGAUUUCGGCGGGCACAGUUCUCAAGAGGAAUACUUCAGCUGCAAAAAGAAAUUCUGAGCUGCUGCAUGAACAUUCAUCAAACAUAUAAGGUUGCAAUUUGGAAAAAACUUUCAAGCUAAUGCUGCUGAAAUGCAGGUCAAGGGGACUAUGAAGAGGUGGCUCCAGCUGAUCAAAAGGGUGGACUUCAGGAGGCAGACACACUCUGUUACAGUAAUCAGCUGAUCCAUUCGGUAUCCAGACCAGACGGUGGACCUGCACCCAGGAACGACCACAACACAUCCCUGAAUGUCAGCGGAGACCAUGUCAGCUAGAUGACAGAUCCCUGUGAAGACCUCAUUGAUGGCUCCAGCACAGAUCCUCAGCAAAGACUACAAGAACCAGACAAGCCCUCUGCACAGACCCUUUUUACCAGCUUCACCUGCUAGCGUGAUAUUACUUCAUGCAGAAGAAGUUGGAUGAAAUAUUCUGAAUGAUAUCAAUCCACAAUCUGACUUGUGAUGCAGCCUGGAAUAAUCACACCACGUUCAUUCGUUUGGCCAGACGAGAACUGGUUUCCUGACUGAGCCGGGUCUUGUUUGGGUUUGGGUUCCUUGUCACUGUUGCCUUUUGUCUUGCUUGGUUGAAGACACCUAAUAUUCAGCAAUAUUAUUGACUUGACUGCACUGACACCAUUUGAUGAGAACUGAACUGAAUUAUGACACACAAUGUUUUAUAU